rnacentral:rRNA from 1 species
CGGCGGUUCUAUUUUGUUGGUUUCUAGAAGCCACCGUAAUGAUUAAUAGGGAUAGUCGGGGGCAUCAGUAUUCAAUUGUCAGAGGUGAAAUUCUUGGAUUUAUUGAAGACUAACUACUGCGAAAGCAUUUGCCAAGGAUGUUUUCAUUAAUCAGUGAACGAAAGUUAGGGGAUCGAAGACGAUCAGAUACCGUCGUAGUCUUAACCAUAAACUAUGCCGACUAGAGAUCGGGCGGUGUUUAAUUUAUGACCCGCUCGGCAUCUUACGAGAAAUCAAAGUUUUUGGGUUCUGGGGGGAGUAUGGUCGCAAGGCUGAAACUUAAUGUUUUUGACGGAAGGGCACCACCAGGAGUGGAGCCUGCGGCUUAAUUUGACUCAACACGGGGAAACUCACCAGGUCCAGACACAUUAAGGAUUGACAGAUUGAGAGCUCUUUCUUGAUUAUGUGGGUGGUGGUGCAUGGCCGUUCUUAGUUGGUGGAGUGAUUUGUCUGCUUAAUUGCGAUAACGAACGAGACCUUAACCUGCUAAAUAGCCAGGCGAGCUUUCGCUCGUCGCCGGCUUCUUAGAGGGACUAUCGGCUCAAGCCGAUGGAAGUUUGAGGCAAUAACAGGUCUGUGAUGCCCUUAGAUGUUCUGGGCCGCACGCGCGCUACACGGAAGGGGCCAACGAGUACCAUCCUUAACCGAAAGGUUUGGGUAAUCUUGUUAAACCCCGUCGUG